rnacentral:rRNA from 1 species
AUUGAACGCUGGCGGCAUGCCUUACACAUGCAAGUCGAACGGCAGCAUGGAGAGCUUGCUCUCUGAUGGCGAGUGACGAACGGGUGAGUAAAGCAUUGGAACGUACCGUGUAGUGGGGGAUAACGUAGCGAAAGGUACGCUAAUACCGCAUACGCACUGAGGUGGAAAGCAGGGGAUCGUAAGACCUUGCGCUAUACGAGGGGCCGAUGUCAGAUUAGCUGGUUGGUAGGGUAAAGGCCUACCAAGGCGACGAUCUGUAGCGGGUCUGAGAGGAUCAUCGGCCACACUGUGACUGAGAGACGACCCAGACUCCUACGGGAGGCAGCAGUGGGGAAUUUUGGACAAUGGGGGCAACCCUGAUCCGGCCAUGCCGCGUGAGUGAAGAAGGCCUUCGGGUUGUAAAGCUCUUUCGGCCGGGAAGAAAUCGCACAGGCUAAUACCCUGUGUGGAUGACGGUACCGGCAUAAGAAGCACCGGCUAACUACGUGCCAGCCGCCGCCGUAA